CUUCAGUGUAUUUUACUUAGAAUAAUGUUCCUUACGAUACCAUCUGAAAUACACCUAACCUAAGGUCAAUCUAAGGUUAUAUCACCUGAUGGUUGACACAUACAAAUGCUUCAAUCUUUGAACCAAGCCAACGAAAAGCUUACGAUGAUGAGUCUUCCUUGAGAUGUUGAUCUAGUCUUUACGUAGUCUUCAUGAGUCGUUGAAGAACAUCUUCAUGAGUGCUUGUUAUCCAUUCAGGACUACGAAAUUUGACAAUCUUGACUAUGCUUUAAGUAUAAGCACUUACAAAAACCACGCCUAGUACGAGUGGGCAUAAACUUAGGGACAUAAUGGGGAACCUAAAAUCUAAAAACUCAAAUGCAAUGUGAUGAUAAUGGGAAGAUUGUUAGCUCUAGACACGGCGAUAUGAAAACCUAACCUAGAUGCAACAUAAGAAUCCUAUGCUAAACCUAGGCUCUAAUGCGAUGGACACACUAAGCCUAAACUCUAAAUGCCAUGGACACAUUAAACCCUAUGCUAACCUAGGCUCUGAUACCAAAAUUUGAUGCAGGACAGGUAGCCUAGCCUAGAAUGAUGUAAUGAGAUCAUCAACAGAUUAACUAGAAUAAUUUAAAGCACAAAAUAAUGAUAAUCAAUCACAAGCUUAAUGAAUUCAAGUAUUUAACCAUACUCAGAUUUAAGACUAAAUCACAACCCGUCAAUUAAAUCUUAUAAAACAUGAUUAGAUAGGACUUAUGGAAGGUAGAACUUCCAUCUAGCAUAGGGAUUAUUCAUAAUUCAAAGGGAUUCACUUGGUUUAGGGUUUUGGCUAAACUAGGUUUAGGUUUAGGAUUUAGAUUUUGGAAAUUAGAUUUUAGGUUUAGGAUUGAAGUAAAGGACAAGGGAUAGAGAUGAAUGAGGGAGAGGAAACAAGGGGGCCACUGUACAAGGUUGUCCGCGAAGGAUGACCGACUGUGGUCGAUUUGGGCUUAGGAUGUGUCAAUUUAGGAUUUAGAUGGUAACAAAGAGAAAAAGAAAAAAAAGGAAAAGAAAAAGGAAGAGAUGAAAAGGAAGAAAAGAAGAAGAUGAGAAAAGAUGAUAUCUUGUUGAGAAUAGAGAAAAGUAGAACAGAUAACUAGGGAAUCGCUCCCCAUGGUUUCACACCACCAAUCCAAUUGCAGGAUUUUUUUAUUUAUUUUUUUUAUUUUGCUCAAUCUUGAAGCAAAAGGAGAAAAAUCUCUUUCAUUCAUAACAUGCAUAUUGGCUAGGGUGGGGACGUCCAGCCCUUUUAUAUUUUUAUAAAAGACUAUACAAAAAGAUGCUCUCUUAUAAGAUUCUCAACAUAAAGACGCUUAAUGAAUUAAAAGUUGUCCCUAACUCCCUAAUCACAACACAAAUAUGAGCUAUACCAAAAAUAACAAAACAUGUAAACAAACUAAACAACUAAACUAUUUCAUGGCCCAUGGGGGUCUAUGAUCAAGAUAUCUGAUAAUGAUGAUCUAAUGGUCCAAUGUGUAUAUCAAGCUCCUAUAUGUAGCCCACACGCAUUUUCCCAGUGUGGGGUCUUCAAAGAUGCACAAACAUGCACAUGGGGUCUUCAAUAUGGCUAGGGAUGUGAAUUGGGCCAAGUGGGCCCCAUGUAAUGGUUGUCUAGCCAUAAGGAAACUGGCCCAGCCCUCCUCUGAUAUGGUGCUCAGAUGUCCUCAUUACAAGGCAAAACAAAAUCUUCCAACGGGAAAAAUCUAACAAACCCUUGCCAAAUCAACACAAUUUUGCUUCAACA